UACGGGGGGGGCAAGCGUUGUUCGGAAUUACUGGGCGUAAAGGGCGCGUAGGCGGCCUUCUAAGUCGGACGUGAAAUCCCUCGGCUUAACCGAGGAACUGCGUCCGAUACUGAAAGGCUUGAAUCCGGGAGAGGGAUGUGGAAUUCCAGGUGUAGCGGUGAAAUGCGUAGAUAUCUGGAGGAACACCGGUGGCGAAGGCGGCAUCCUGGACCGGUAUUGACGCUGAGGCGCGAAGGCUAGGGGAGCAAACGGG
rnacentral:rRNA from 1 species